rnacentral:rRNA from 1 species
UACGGGGGGGGCAAGCGUUGUUCGGAAUUACUGGGCGUAAAGGGCUCGUAGGCGGCCAACUAAGUCGGACGUGAAAUCCCCAGGCUCAACCUGGGAACUGCGUCCGAUACUGGAUGGCUUGAAUCCGGGAGAGGGAUGCAGAAUUCCAGGUGUAGCGGUGAAAUGCGUAGAUAUCAGGAGGAACACCGGUGGCGAAGGCGGGUCUCUGGGCCGAUACUGACGCUGAGGAGCGAAAGCGUGGGGAGCAAACAGG